CGCGCUGCUGCCGCUGAUGUUGUUAUGGACCGGGACAUGUAGCCUGAAAACACCCGGAGACGCUUCUGUGGUUCGGUUUUUUUUUUGGAAACUUAACGUUUGUGUAGAAUAUUUAUUUUUUAAAAACGAAAUGGCAGCGACGGUGGCGACGCCCGUCACCCCGACGGAGCACGACCCGGACCGGUGCGGGAGCGAGGAGGAGAGCCGCGGGGCCGAGGCGGAGGAGAGCGGGCAGCCGCAGCAGACAGGCCCCGGGGCCGCCGGGAGCCACAGCCGGCUCUCCAAGCUGCCGCUGGCCCGCAUCAAGGCGCUGAUGAAGACCGACCCGGACGUGUCUCUGGCCAGCCAGGAGUCCGUGUUCAUCAUCGCUAAAGCCACGGAGUUGUUUGUGGAGAUGAUUGCCAAAGACGCCCUGGUGUACGCUCAGCAGGGGAAGAGGAAAACUUUGCAAAGAAAAGAUCUGGACAACGCGAUAGAGGCCAUAGAUGAGUUUGCAUUUCUCGAAGGCACGCUAGAUUAAAGACAGCUUCAGGAGACCGAGUCUGAAAAUCCAGAAACCAUCCGAGAACAACUUUCCACCGCAGGAGCACAGCUUGUUGUCAGAGACCUGGUGGUACUUUUCUAAGUCGAACCCUCAGAUCGGAUGUUUGUAAAUGCUUUUAUACGACGGGCCCUUCAGACUUUUCAUACUUAAUUUUGAAGACAUUGAUGGUGAUAUGUACAUUUUUAUGUAAAUAUUUGUGAGAUACUACUGUACGACGAAAUAAAUGGACGUCAGACACAAA